rnacentral:rRNA from 1 species
AUGCUGCGCCACGCUGAGUACCUGGAAGCCAGAGGUGCAGUCGUCUCCAACGUCGAUUGGCUCCGUCUGCUGGUUCGUGCCAACGAUCUCAUCCUUGAUGUCUCCGAUCAUCUGGUGGGGAGCCUCGACUUGGAUCCGAUCCAUGACGUCAACGACCUGCGCCUUCGAGCCUUGGAGCAUUCGCCACCUCCAUCGACGAUCUGGCGACCGGCCUUCAAGCGGGCGUCUUCCACGACUUCGCCAACAUCUUCGCCGCCUGGAUCACCGAGGCCAUCGCUGGAUUCGGGGACGGCGUCUUGA